GAAUUCACCCAGUUCAUAUCGACUCUACCUUCUGAUGCUCAGGAGGCAUAUAGGAGACGGUUUUUGGCGGAUCAGGCUGGGACUUCUCGACAAGGUGGAGUUGGUGAUGAGGAUGAGGAUGAUGAUGAUCGGGACUGAGUUUAUUUGUUUUAACAUUAAAAACAAUGGGUGUG